UAGAGUAAAGGGAUUUUGAAAAAAAAAGAGGGGAUUGUGAGUUGUGAAUUGUAAUUUGUGACUUGUGAGAUGCUGUAAGAUUUUUUUUAGAAGACAGUGAUGGUUCAAGGAUGGAUGGAUGGAUGGAUGGAUAGAGGAGAGUGAUUAGUAGAGAGAGAAAAUUAAAGGAUGGAGUGAGUGA